GCCAAUUCCUCCAUCCCAGUUUGCUUUGGUUUCAAUUGCGCAUCUAAGUUUUCCCUGUACAGCGGGAUGUAGGUUAGUGGUUUUCGUUCUUGUUUUCUUGUAUCAAGUAUGUGGGUUUCUGAAUUGCAGUCCUUUGAUUGAGAAAUUGAAAGCCUGACUCUAGAUCUAGAUGCAAUUUUUGGGGAAAUUAGAGCAUGAUUUCAGGUUUGGUCGAUUCCUGACUCUAGAUCUAGAUGCAAUUUUGGGGGAAUCAGAGCAUGAUUUCAGGUUUGGGCGAUUCAGGUUUUUGUUGUGAGAUUUUCCCUAUGCAAUUUGUUCUAUGUUUAUUUUUUCCAUUGAUGAUCGGAGAGGAUGUGCUAUGUUAGCGAUCAGGUUCCAGUUCUUGUUGGUAACGAUGGACAGAGAGAUCAAUCUGUCUCUGAUUUGACAUGAGCUCCAGGUGCGCCUAUGUUUCACAAGCAGGCCACAACUUCGAUAUGGAGCUAUCGGUUUGGAUUUGAUAUCUUACAUCUUAUAUGCUAAUGUUGUCUUAUUCUCGCUUCAACUUCCUUUACCCUGACUUCUUCAAUGCUUAUUUGGUCCGGUCAUCGGUGGAUUUCAUUCCUAGGUUUUGAUAUCACUUUUCAAGGGUACAUGGUGCAAGUGGUUCUAAAGGAAUAAGUGUCUUACGGAUAAGUACUCAUGGACAGAGAGAUCAUUCUGUCUCUGAUUUGACAUGAGCUCCAGGUGCGCUAUGUUUCACAAGCAGGCCACAACUUCCAUAUGGAGCUAUCGGUUUGGAUUUGAUAUCUUGCAUCUUAUAUGCUAAUGUUGUCUUAUUCUCGCAUCAACUUCCUUUACCCUGACUUCUUCAAUGCUUAUUUGGUCCAGUCAUCGGUGGAUUUCAUUCCUAGGUUUUGAUGUCACUUUUCAAGGGUACAUGGUGCAAGUGGUUCUAAAGGAAUAAGUGUCUUACGGAUAAGUACUCAAUUCUCAAUCUUUAGAUUGCCGCCUAAAGUGCUUCUCUAUAUUUGGUGUUCUCGCUACUAGUUUUCUCUGCUCCAAUUUUCUUUUGCUUAUCACGCCUGUUUUGUUGGAUGGAUUAGAUUUAGAAAUUUCUAAGGUUGGUGUCCAGAAUGCGCUCCUCUGCAUGUUGUUUACAGAUCACUGUCAGAGGCUUCAAGAAAAGGGGGUUUUUCAAUCAUGUCUCUGGCAUCUCUGGUGAUUUCCUAGGUGUAUGGGUUUCGCACUUAACUAUUCCCUUCUUUCUGUGCUUGCAGCCGUUGGGUGUUAAGAGUGCAAUGAAUUCUUCUUUUCAUGGAGCGUUGAGAUUGGUUUUGAUUUCUUAGCUCUCAGUCACUACCAGUACUCUCUACCUUCAUAUUGUUGCUUUCCUUUGGUGCUUUAUCUGUUUCUUAUUAUUUUGUUUUCGAUUUGCUGCAUUUUCCGUGCGAUGUAGGUUUCUAAUCUGCAAUUCUAUGAUCUGACUGUUUUGAGAAUUAAGCUCGGGUCAAGCAAUUCAAGUGGGCAGGGUUUGGGAGUCCUUUCUGAGUUUUCUUUUUCUUUUUUUGUGUGCGCAUUCAAUUUUCAAUUAUUUCUGUUUUGUUUUUCUUUUUUGUUGAUUAGAGAGGGUUGUUUGUUUGUCAAUGUUGCCAAUGUUUGAUCAGGUCUGGGUAGCAACUGUAGGAGAUUCUAAGGGCUGCCAGUGGUUUUGAUGUGUCUUCUCUAUGGUGAUUUUCCGGUGGGUGAUUUCUUUUCAUGGAAUUGUAGCUAGUACCUUCAUCCUACUCAUAGUCAUGGUAUCUCCCCUUUAUAAACAACAUUUUGUGAAUUUUCUUUUUCGUGCUUCUUGUUGUGACCUCUGCCAGUUACCUUGGUUAUGUUCAUAAGGUUGCUUUCGUCCCUUGUAUAGUUUAUCUUUUAUGUUGUCAUCCUUGAUUGUUUUCUUGUUAUUAUGAUAUGUGGGUUUUUUGUUUGCAAUCCUUUGAUUUGCGAUGUUAAGAAAUUGAAAGGCGGUGAGAUCCACUCUAGAUGGAAUUUCGAGGGAAUCAAGCAUGCUUUCAGGUUUUGUGCGCAAUUCUGAUAUUUUUGUUGUGAGUCUUUGCUAGUCUUUGCUGCACAAUUGGCACUGCGUUUAUUUUUUCCAUUGACCAUAGGGGAGUAUCUUGCUAUUUAGUUUUUUUGAUCAGGUUCCUUUUCGAUUUGGAGUUGUAAAAACUACGGAUAGAGGGAUUAUUCUGUCUCUGAUUCAACAUGAGCUCCCCCUCCUAUUUUGAGACGUUACGGUAGUGUACAUUUCUUUCCAUACUAUCUGAGCUAUUGCUACUCUGAAACCUCAAGCAAUUUUGCUCCCCGCUGACUUGGAUCUUCAGAUGAAUCAGUCCGUCAUCUGUUCCUAUGCGUCACAAGACAAGCAGGGCACAACUUCAGCAUGGAGCUAUUGGUUUGGAUUUGAUGUCUUGCAGCUAAUAUUGAUGCUAAUGUUGUGUUAUUCUCGCAUCAACUUCUUUUACCUUGACUUCUUCAAUGCAUAUUUUGGUUUGGUCAUCUGGUGGAUUUCAUCCCAGGUGGUGUAGUUUUCAAUGGAUGAGUAUUAAGAUUGAUCUAAGGGGGCGAGUGAUUCUGAAGGUGUAUUGCUUUGGUGUUUGAGUUCGGGAAGAUGCAGAGCAAGUUCUCAGGUCUUACGCUUAAGAGGUAUUGGAGAUUUUCUUGUCUCUAAGCUUUGUCAAAAACUGCUGUUAUAUGGAAGCUCUCAAUUAAGAUUAUUCUUUCCACAAGCAAUGUAUAGUGUAUUCUGCUGCCGUUUUUAGUUUUCAUUCCAGAUGCUUAUGUUCUUCGAUGCGGCUGAUGAGAUCUCUUAUCAUUAUGGACACCUGAUAAGUACUCAAUUCUGCAUCUUUAGAUAGCCUCAUAAAGUGCUCUUCCACUUUUGGUGGUCUCCCUACUCAUCUUCUCAGCUUCUGUUUUCUUUUGGUUAUCAUGCCAACUUGUUUUUGUUUGUUGGAUGGAUGUGUAGACCACAUAGUGACAUGAAUUAAGGGCUGGAUUUUGAAAUUUCAAAGGUUGGUGGUCCCGCGUUACACACGGUUUCUUGGUCUUUUUGGUGCUUGCAUUGCAAUCCUGAUAUUGUCAGGCUUCGAGAAAGGAUGAAUUUCAAUCUUGUGUCUGGCAUCUCUUGUGAUUUCCUAGUGGUAUGGGUUUCAGCAGCUUUUCACUUACUGUUACCACCGUUUGUGCUUGCAGCCAUUGGGCCCUAGAGAAGUGAAUUCCUCUUUGCAUGGAGCUGCCUUGCUUUCCUUGCUGGUCAUUGAGGUCUCUGUAGUUUCUAUGAGUAUUGAGAUUUUCAAUCCAGUUUUCUAUCCUAAUUAUAGUGAUUGCCUCAUCUUUUGUUAAAACUGCUGGCAUAGGGAAAUUGUUGACUGAGGAUAAAUCUUUUCACAAGUGUGUAUAGCAUAUUUUGCUGCCAUUUUCAGUUUUUUCAUUCCAGAUGAUGUUCUUCGAUGAUCCAACUGAAAAGAUCUCUCAUAUAGUUAUGGACACCUGGUUGGACACCUGAUAAGUACUCAAUCUCAAUUCUGGAUCUUUUGAUGGCCCCAUAAAGUGCUCCUCUACUUUUGGUUUUCUCGCUACAUAUUUUCUCUGCUACUGUUUUCUUUUGUUUAUCACGCCAACUUGUAUUUGUUUGUUGUGGGGAUGUGUAGACCACAUGGUGACCGUAAUUAAGGCUUUGAUUUUGAAAUUUCAAAGGUUGGUGAUCCAGCAUGCGUUAUGCAUGGUUUCUUGGUCUUUUUGGUGCUUGCAAUGCAAUCUUGGUAUUGUCAGGCUUCGAGAAAGGGGGUUUUUUCAAUCUUGUCUCUGGCAUCUCUUUUGAUUUCCUAGUGGUACGGGUUUCACCAGUUUUUCACUUAAAUGUUACCUCCUAUUUGUGCUUGCAGCCAUUGGACCUUAGAGCAGUGAAUGCGUCUUUCCAUGGAGCCGCGUGUUUCCUUGCCGAUUUGCAUUGAGGUUUCUGUAGUUCAGACUAAUAUAAUUAUUGAGAUUUUCAUUCCAGUUUCCUUCCUAAUGAUAGUGAUUCCCUUCUCUCUUUGUCCAAACGGCUGGUAAUACAGAAAUUGUAAUCUGAGAUAAAUCUUUUCACAAGUGUUUGUAGUGUAUUCUGCUCCCAUUUUUUCAUCUUCAGUCCAGAUGCUUAUGUUCUUCAAUUAUCCAACUUGUGAGAUCUCUCUUAUGGUUAUGGACGCCUGGUUGGACACCUGAUAAGUAUUCAAUCUCAAAUCUGGAUCUUUUGAUAGCCCCACAAAGUGCCCAUCUACCUUUGGUUUUCUUGCUACGUAUUUUCUCUGCUACUGUGUUCUUUUGUUUAUCAUGCCAACUUGUUUUUGUUUGUUGGGUGGAUGUGUAGACCACACGGUGACAGUAAUUAAGGUUUGGAUAUUGAAUUUCAAAGGUUGGUGAUCCAGUAUGUUACACACGAUCUCUUGGUCUUUUUGGUGCUUGCAUUGCAACCUUGAUAUUGUCAGGCUUCGAGAAAGGGGGUUUUUCUGUCUUGUCUCCAUCAUCUCUUGUGAUUUCCUAGUGGUAUGGGUUUCACCAGCUUUUCGCUUACUGUUACCUCCUGUUUGUGCUUUGCAGCCAUUGGGCCCCAGAGAAUGAAUUCCUCCUUGCAUGGAGUUGCCUUGUUUUCCUUGCCGGUCAUUGAGGUCUCUGUAGUUUAGGCUUCUAUGAGUUUUGAGAUUUUCAAUCCAGUUUUCUAUCCUAAUUAUAGUGAUUCCCUUAUCUUUGUCAAAACUGCUGGUAUAGGGAAAUUGUUGACUGAGGAUAAAUCUUUUGGCAAGUGUGUAUAGCAUAUUUUGCCUGCCAUCUUCAGUUUUUUCAUUCCAGAUGCUUAUGUUCUUCGAUGAUCCAACUGAUCAGAUCUCUCUUAUAGUUAUGGACACCUGGUUGGACACCUGAUAAGUACUCAAUCUCAAUUCUGGAUCUUUUGAUAGCCCCAUAAAGUGCUCUACUUUUGGUUUUCUCGCUACAUGUCUUCUCUGCUACUUUUUUCUUUUGUUUAUCUCGCCAACUUGUAUUUCUUUGUUGUGGGGAUGUGUAGACCACAUGGUGACAGUAAUUAAGGAUUGGAUUUUGAAAUUUAAAAGGUUGGUGAUCCAGCAUGCGCUAUGCAUGGUUUCUUGGUCUUUUUGGUGCUUGCAAUGCAAUAUUGGUAUUGUCAGGCUUCGAGAAAGGGAUUUUUUUCAAUCUCGUCUCUGGCAUCUCUUUUGAUUUCCUAGUGGUACGGGUUUCACCAGUUUUUCACCUAAAUGUACCUCCUAUUUGUGCUUGCAGCCAUGGGGCCUCAGAGCAGUGAAUGCGUCUUUCCAUGGAGCCGCGUGUUUCCUUGCCGAUUUGCAUUGAGGUUUCUGUAGUUCAGACUUCAAUAAUUAUUGAGAUCUUCGUCCAGUUUCCUUGCCUACUGAUAGUGAUUCCUCCUCUCUUUGUCCAAACUACAACUAAUACAUAAAUUGUCACAUGAGAUAAAUCUUUUCACAAGUGUUUGUAGUGUAUUUUGGUACCAUUUUUUCAUCUUCAGUCCAGAUGCUUAUGUUCUUCAAUUAUCCAACUUGUGAGAUCUCUCUUAUGGUUAUGGACACCUGGUUGGACACCUGAUAAGUAUUCAAUCUCAAAUCUGGAUCUUUUCAUCUCCAUAAAGUCCUCAUCUACCUUUGGUUUUCUCGCUACAUAUCUUCUCUGCUACUGUUUUAUUUUGUUUAUCAUGCCAACUUGUUUUUGUUUGUUGGGUGGAUGUGUUGACCACAUGGUGACAAUAAUUAAGGUUUGGAUAUUGAAUUUCAAAGGUUGGUGAUCCAGUAUGUUACACAGUCUCUUGGUGCUUGCAUUGCAAUCUUGAUAUUGUCAGGCUUCAAGAAAGGGGGUUUUUCAAUCUUGUCUCCGUCACCUCUUGUGAUUUCCUAGUGGUAUGGGUUUCACCAGCUUUUCGCUUACUGUUACCUCCUGUUUGUGCUUUUGCAGCUAUUGGGCCCCAGAGAAGUGAAUUCCUCCUUGCAUGGAGCUCUGCCUUGUUUUUCUUGCCGGUCAUAGAGGUCUCUGUAGUUUAGGCUUUUCUAUGAGUAUUGAGAUUUUCAAUCCAGUUUUCUAUCCUAAUUAUAGUGAUUCCCUUAUCUUUGUCAAAACUCCUGGCAUAGGGAAAUUGCUGACUGUGAGGAUAAAUCUUUUCGCAAGUGUGUGUAGCAUAUUUUGCUGCCAUUUUCAGUUUUUUAUUCUAGAUGCUUAUAUUCUUCGAUGAUUCAACUGAUGAGAUCUCUCUUAUAGUUAUGGACACCUGGUUGGACACCUGAUAAGUACUCAAUCUCAAUUCUGGAUCUUUUGAUAGCCCCAUAAAGUGCUCCUUUACUUUUGGUUUUCUCGCUACAUAUCUUCUCUGCUACUGUUUUCUUUUGUUUAUCUCGCCAACUUGUAUUUGUUUGUUGUGGGGAUGUGUAGACCACUUGGUGACGGACUGACAGUAAUUAACGAUCGGAUUUUGAAAUUUCUAAGGUUGGUGAUCCAGCAUGUGCUAUGCAUGGUUUUUUGGUCUUUUGGUGCUUGCAAUGCGAUCUUGGUAUUGUUAGGCUUCGAGAGAAAGGGGGUUUUUCAAUCUUGUCUCUGGUAUCUCUUUUGAUUUCCUAGUGGUUCGGGUUUCACCAGUUUUUCACUUAAAUGUUGCCUCCUAUUUGUGCUUGCAGCCAUUGGGCCUUAGAGCAGUGAAUGCGUCUUUCCAUGGAGCCGCGUGUUUCCUUGCCGAUUUGCAUGGAGGUUUCUGUAGUUCAGACUUCUAUAAUUAUUGAGAUUCAUUCCAGUUUCCUUCCCUAAUGAUAGUGAUUCCCUUCUCUCUUUGUCCAAAUGGCUGGUAAUACAGAAAUUGUCGCCUGAGAUAAAUCUUUUCACAAGUGUUUGUAGUGUAUUCUGCUGCCAUUUUUAGCAUCUUCAGUCCAGAUGCUUAUGUUCAAUUAUCCAACUUGUGAGAUCUCUCUUAUGGUUAUGGAUGCCUGGUUGGACACCUGAUAAGUAUCAAUCUCAAAUCUGGAUCUUUUGAUAGCCUCAUAAAGUGCUCAUCUACCUUUGGGUUUCUCGCUACAUAUCUUCUCUGCUAUUGUUUUCUUUUGUUUAUCAUGCCAACUUGUUUCUGUUUGUUGGGUGGAUGUGUAGACCACAUGGUGACAGUAAUUAAGGAUUGGAUAUUGAAUUUCAAAGGUUGGUGAUCCAGUAUGUUACACACGGUUUCUUGGUCUUUUUGGUGCUUGCAUUUCAAUCUUGAUAUUGUCAGGCUUCGAGAAAGGGGGUUUUCCAAUCUUGUCUCCGGCAUCUCUUGUGAUUUCGUAGUGGUAUGGGUUUCACCAGCUUUUCGCUUACUGUUACCUCCUGUUUGUGCUCGCAGCCAGUGGGCCCUAGAGAAGUGAAUUCCUCCUUGCAUGGAGCUGCCUUGUUUUCCUUGCCGGUCAUUGAGGUCUCGGUAGUUUAGGCUUCUAUUGAGUAUUGAGAUUUUCAAUCCAGUUUUCUAUACUAAUUAUAGUGAUAACCUUAUCUUUGUCAAAACUGCUUGUAUAGGGAAAUUGUUGACUGAGAUAAAUCUUUUCACAAGUGUGUAUAGCAUAUUCUGCUGCCAUUUUCAUUUUUUUCAUUCCAGAUGCUUAUGUUCUUCGAUGAUCCAAGUGAUGAGAUCUCUCCUAUAGUUAUGGACACCUGGUUGGACACCUGAUAAGUACUCCAUCUCAAAUCUGGAUCUUUUGAUAGCCCUAUAAAGUGCUCCUCUACUUUUGGUUUUCUCGUACAUAUCCUCUCUGCUACUGUUCUCUUUUGUUUAUCACUCCAACUUGUUUUUGUUUGUUGGGUGGAUGUGUAGACCACUUGGUGACAGUAAUUAAGGAUUGGAUUUGAAGUUUCAAAGGUUGGUGAUCCAGUAUGCAUCAUUACACAUGGUUUCUUGGUCUUUUUGGUGCUUGCAUUGCAAUCUUGAUAUUGUCAAGCUUCAAGAAAGGGAAUUUUUCAAUCUUGUCUCUGUCAUCUCUUCUGAUUUCCUAGUGGUAUGGGUUUCACUAGCUUUUCACUUAAAUGUUACCUCCUAUUUGUGCUUGCAGCCAUUGGGCCUUAGAGCAGUGAAUUCUGCUUUCCAUGGAGCCGCUUGUUUCCUUGCCGAUUUGCGUUGAGGUUUCUGUAGUUCGGACUUCUAAUUAUUGAGACUUCCGUUCCAGUUUCCUUCCCUAAUUAUUGUGAUUCGCUUCUGUCUGUCAACACUGCUGGUAAUACGGAAAUUGUUGACUGAGAUGAAUCUUUUCACAAGUGUUUAUAGUUUAUUCUGCUGCCACUUUUUUGUUUUCAGUCCAGAUGCUUAUGUUCUUGGAUUAUCCAACUUAUGAGAGAGAUCUCUUAUGGUUAUGGACACCUGAUAAGUACUUAAAACUCAAAUCUGGAUCUUUUGAUAUAGCCCCAUAUAGUGCUACUCUGCUUUUGGUGUUCUUGCUGCAUGUCUUUUUUUCUGCUUCUGUUUUCUUUUGUUUAUUAUGCCAGCUUGCUUUUGUUUGUUGGAUGGAUGUGUAGAACACAUGGUGACAGUGAUAGAGCAUUAGAUUUUGAAAUUUCAGAGGUUGGUGUCAAGUGCUUGCACUGCAAUCCAGAUAUUGUCAAGCUUUGAAAAAGGGGGGUUUUUCGAUCUCUCGUGUGUAAUAUCUAGUGUUUUCCUAGGUGGCAUGGGUUUCGCCAACUUUUUAACUGUUCCUUCUCUCUGUGCUUGCAGCUGUUGGGAUAUAGGUUCCUGAUUUGCAAUUCUCUCGUAGUUUCCGUUGAGAAGUUAAGCUUGGACCCAAGCAAUUCAAGCGGGCAGUCAGGCUUUGGGAGUUCUUUGAAUUUUCUCUUUUUGGGUCUGAGAUCCAGUUUGUUAUUAGAUCUGUUUCCUCUAUCUUCUUUGUUGAUUAGAGUUGGUUCUUUGUAUUUCAUCAUUGGCAUUGGUUGAUCAGGUCUUGGUAAUGUUUAUAGAAGAAAGGCCUUCUGGUGGAUUGUGCCUAGUUACCCUCUACCCUAUUCAUGGUAUCUCACCAAUUACCCUUCACCAAUAGCCGUCGCAGUCGCAGUCGCAGACUUCCCUUUUCCGUGCUGCUUUUUGUGACCUUCUGCUAGUUACGUUGGUUUCUCAAUGUUCUUAUCUUUGCUUUCCUUCCAUGUGUAGAUUAUUUUUUUUGUUCUCAUCCUCGACCGUUUUCUUGUGUAUUACGACAUGUGGGACUCUGAUGAAAUUGAAAGCUGGUGAGAUCCAUUCUUGGUGCAAUAUUUGGGGAUGAAGCAUGCUUUUAGAUUUUGGGUUGGUUCAGAGGUUUUUGUUGUGAGACUCCACUAUGCAAUUAGUACUGUGUUUAUUUUUCCCUUGAUGAUCGGAAAUGGUGUUUCUAUGUUAGCAUCAAGUUCCAGUUCUAUUUGGAGUUGCAACAAUGGACAGAGGUUACAUGAGCUUCUUCUUCUAUUUGUGCACUGGUGUACACUGUUUUGCCACACUGCCUGAGCUAUCACUCCCCUGGAACCUCACAAAUUCUUUUUAUUGAAUCAGAAUACAAGUAGAACUAGCAAUAACGCUACCAUGCUGACUUGGAUCUUUAUGGUGAGUGAGUCCGUCCUUGAUUCUACCGAAUGUCUACCGAAUGUGUCAUGCAGGGCAAAACCCCAAUGUGGAGCUAUCAUUUACUUGGAUUUCAUAUCUUGACUUUCAUCUAAUUUGCUGAUUUUGAUGCUAAUAUUGGUGGUUUUUUCCUUGCAUCAACUUCUUUUACCCUGAUUUCUCGUUAUCUUGUUCGGUCCCAUACCUAGGUAUGGUGUCAGUUAUGAAGGAUAUAAGGGCAAGUUCCAAGGUCUUUGACUAUAGGUAUCGAAUAUUUUCAUCUCUCUUAAGCUUUUAUCAAAACUGGUGUUAUAUGGAAGUUCCCAACUAAGUUAAAAUCUUUUCACAAGUGUGCAUUGUGUAUUCUGCUGCCAUUUUUAGUUCAAGUCAGAUGCUUAUGUUCAUCGAUGAUACAACUGAUGAGAUCACAUACAAGUGUUCCUUUUCUUUUGGUGUACUUGCUACGCAAUUCCGUCUUUUUCUGCUUGUCACGCCAGCUUGGUUUUGUUUGUUGUAUAGCACAUGGUGACUGUAAUAGAGGAUUAUAUAUGGGAUUUCAAAGGUUGCUGUCGCAUAUUUGUGUGCGCGCUGUCUCUUGGUCUUCUUUUGGUGCUUGCACUGCAAUCUGGAUAUUUUCAGGCUUCGAGAGAAGGGUGUUUUCAAUUUUUUAUCUGGCUUCUCUAGUAAUUUCCGAGGUGGUAUGGGUUUUACGAGAUUUGCACUAAACUCUUCCUCCUUUCUGUGCUUGCAGCUGUUGGGUCUUAGAGCAGUGAAUUCUUUCCUCAUGGAAUGGCCUUGUUCGUCUAUUUGCGUUUCUUUAGGCUUUUAUGGUAUUGCGAGUUUAAGUUCAGUUUCAUUCUGUAAUCAUAGUGAUGGCGGCAGUUCUUGGGCUACCUUGCUGUCCUCCUAGUCUGAAGUUAACUAUUAGUCUAUAUUAACUAGAAGAGAGGAACAUCUUAGAUCUCGUAGACUCUGAUCAAUCAAUGUCUUUACGAGGAAGCAGAGGGGUUUUAGUGCUUAUAGUUUUGUAUGAGUUCAUUUGUUUCAAACUAUUCUAUUAGGUAGAUUCUCUCUCUCUCUCUCUCUCUCUCUCUCUCUCUCUCUCUCUCUCUCUCUUUUGAAGCAUGCAUAUUAUAUUUUGUAUCUUCAUUCAUUUGAAGACUUGCUUCAAACUGUUAGCUAUUGUAAACGCUAUUUGUAAAAGAGCCCCUCCACACUUUUUUCUCCAUAACACAUUACCAUUUGAACUGCGUUUGCCUCAAAAAGAGCUCGAUUCACUAAUCUAAAACAGAUCAAUAGUACCUGUAAAAAAAACCUGGCUCAUAUCCUGUAGAAAAGGUCAUGUACUCUCUUAUUUUAUUUUUGUAUGUGAAUGCGAAGGUUAUUAAGGAAAAGGCUUUUCUCGUCAUGUGUCUCUGCCAUUUCUGGUGAUUCUUCGGUGGUAUGGUUUGCCCAACAUGUAUUUAACCGGGCCUUUCUUUUGUGCAGUCACCGGGUCAUACAGCAGUGUGGAUUUUUUGUUCUUGUUUUAAUGGAGCAAAAUUGUUGUUGGUUUGUGAGUUCAUCUUGCCUUUUGCUUGCUCUAAUAUUGCUUAAAUUCAAUAAUGUCGAGAUUUCAAUUUUUGCUGAUGUGAUGUCAUCCUUUCUUUAACCUGACCCCAAAGGGUGGUUAUGUACUAGUACAUAUGUUGCAAAAUUUAGGAUUCUCGUGGUCUCUUCCGUCGCAUGAUGAAUAUUGAUCAGCUUUUUUCAUCUUCCGUUCUUUCAUUCUCUCUUUCAGAUUGCACGAUGCCUCGUUAUUUUCUGACUGAAGCUUUUACAUUUUGUUUUUUGCUUUAGCUUUCACAAAUGUUUUUCUAUACAUCAGAUUUCUGUAGAAGACAUCCUUGUUAAGGACUGGUGGAUGUUGACUGGCUUUCGCAAUAUUAUGCUAUAAUGGGCUGAUGUGGAUUUUGUUGCAGGGUUUCCAGUGAGCAAUAUCUUUACUGCUCGGUCUUUUUUCUUCCCCUUUUGGAGGAAUAAGGUAGUAAAGGAAAAAUCAAACAAAGCAACCACCCGUAUGCGAGAAGUGUACCUAUGUCCAAUACAUUAAAGAAGCUUCUGCUGACCAUCUUCCUGGUUCAUGCAUCACAUAUAUCUUCUAACAAAUAAAGUUCUGUUUCGGGCUGGAGAUAUAACUUCUUUUACAUUUUAGCUGCUGUGCAUUUUCAGAUUAGCAUUUUGUCAGCUAAAGUCAUAUUGUGCACCAACUAUCCAGCUCCAUGAAGUUGUCUACUUCACGUGAAGUCACAUUGGAAAACAGUACAAUUUUUUCCUGUGAAUGUUUCAUUAUAGUCCGGGGACUCUGCUUUUCAACAUCUGCUGGCUUUUCUUUGGAGGAACUGUCCUAUCAUAUCUGCUAUUUUUGCCUGAACGAUUCGGAUCCUAGAUGGGCAGGGUGAAGUCUAUGGCUUGUUUAGGAAAUUUGAAGUGCAUUCCAUGUUAGGUUGGGUUUGUUAGUGCAACCGGUGUUUGGAUAAUCAUUUCUCUCGCAUAGCUGCUUUUAUAAGUGUCUUUUACUGUGAGAUUAGAGGAUGGAACUUGAGAGGGAUAUAAUACCAUGUGAUUUUUCUCAGGGAGUGUAUGCAAUGCGGUCUAAGCGUAUGUGCUGUCGAUUGAGCUUUUAGAUCUGAGGGAGUCUUAUUAUAUCUUCUGUGUGGAAGGUUCCCCCCAGCCUUAGGAGAGAUACCUUCCUUCAUCAAAAGGGAAAAAAGGAACAUGGACACCCAGCUUAUAGGUUCUUAUAUCAUUUGAUAUUCAUGACGUGGUUGAACACAGAUGUGAUUUUAUGUUCUUUUGAGAAUGUUGACAUUGUAAUGGGCUAUGCCCAACUUUGGUAGGUCAGCUGGCACUAUGGAAUUUGUACCUGCAAUUUGCUUUUUGAUUCCUGCUUACACUAGAGUGAGGUGUUGUGAAUUGAUUUUGUUGCUUUAAACAAGGUUUUUUGAUGUGGAAGUAAUCUUAUUGAUUUUGUUACUUUAAACAAGGUUUUUUGAUGUGGAAGUAGUCCUUUGGAGUUUCAGCUUUGAGAGAGACUCGAGGGAGAGUUUGCUUUUGUCACUUGGCUGGAUGAGUUUUUUCUAUGGCGGGAAAGCGUGGCUGCUAGAUAAAAUGCCUCAAGAUGUGUUAGCAGCUUGUAUUGGCAAGUCGACUGAGAAGUUUCAGUUAGUUGUGCUCGCUUAUCAUGCAAUUGGUAAUUAGAAAUUUUGAUAUUCAGUUAGAAGAAUUUCACCAAUGUUUUUGAUGAUAUAAGGGAUUGCAGUCUGUCUCACAUCUGCUGCGAUUUAUUGAAGAUCCUCGUUCACACAGGAGAUAUUGUUUCGCUAUUGAUGGCUCAUAACGCAAUAUUCAACUAGAGUUUAGUGCGUUGCCCGGCAGUAUAUGGAUAUGUAGUUUCAGUAUGUUUUCUACUUACCCGGUAUAUAUCCUCAAAAAACAGCCGAUAUUCCAUCCCUCCUUCCCUGGUUGCAGUAUAAUACUCUUUCACUGUUUGCUAUUGCUACUGGAUUUUCAUGGAUGAUGUAGACGGCAUCUUAAUAGUGGACCAUUGAAGUUUCUGAUUUGACAUGUGAGGUUUCAAUGCGGUGCAGGCUACCUUCCGAGCUUGUUUUCCUUUCAUGUCCGCUCCAUUUUAGUGAUAUUUGGUUCAUUAUUGAUGUCUAGAAAUGCUUCCAUUCAAUGCUGCACAACAUGAACUCUUCACUAUUUGCUUGUGAGCUUUUCAUGGAUGCUGCAAGACCAGUGCAAAUAUCAGUUUGCAAUGGUGGUCAAACUUGUCAUCAUGGCAACAUUGCGAAAACGAUAUUGAUAUGUGUGGUGUCUCUAUGGACGCUUGCAGACUACAUCCAAAUUUCCAGUAUGGAGGGAUUGUAGUCUUUUUUUUCUUUUCACGUCUACUCCCAUGCAAUGAUGAUACACCCUUGCAGUGGAAAACUUCUCCUUGAUGUCUCUGAGUGACUUCCAACUCAAUAUUCAACUAAAUAAGAGGUUCGCGUUUAGCCAGGCCCCAAAUUGUGUAUUCAAGCGUCUUAAAGAAUUUAUUAUCUGGAAAGUUGGUGAUCCUUGUAUAUUCUCAUCAUCUUUAAGAAGUUCUUGCCUGCCUGAAA